UCAUACUGUCAAAACAUAACAAUAUACAAUACAUGAAUGACACCUGCAAGGCUGCGGUUCACAGUUUAACAACAAUUGGAACACUUCAGCCAUGGCCGAGUUGUAACGAUUGUAUAUAAGAGGUCUUUCUCGAAGCUUGCCGAAGAUGGUCAAGUUUUAAGCUUGGUACAAUUGUUGUCUGUGUCGGUCAAGUUUCGUUUUGUUGGAAAGAUGUUUUUGGCCAGAAUCAACGCCCUUGCAGAAAAAAAGCCACCAAAACUACCUUCAGACAAACACGGCUGAAAUUGAGCUGAAUUUGUGCUAUAUGCAGUAUAUCGAUCAAUACAUAGGUAAUGGAGUGUUUGCUAGGCAAGAGCUCUUGAAGGGGCAGUUUAUUCUCGAGUACAGAGGAGAACUAUGUAAACAGCAGUCUGAUGGUGAUGAAAUGUUCAAAUACCAUUUCAGACAUAACAACAAGGAAUACUGCAUCGAUGCCUCAAAAGACACGUGUCUGGCAUGCAUGGUCAACGACUUGGACCGAUACACAAAGCCUAAUUGCAAAAUGGUUAAAGUUGUUGAUGACAGACAUCAACCAAGACUCUGUCUGUAUGCAACUGAAAUGAUCAGCAAAGACACUGAAUUGAGGUACGAUUAUGGUGUUGCUGAUGUACCUUGGAGAAAGCGAAAGAUGCUGUUAAAGAUGGUCAUACAGCUGCAGAUACUACAGAGGUCACAGAAACAUCUGAAGAUGCCCUCGGUGAAUCAGCAGAAGUCUUGGAACAUGCUUAUCAUGAUGCUGUAGGGAACAGUUGGACAGUUGCCCCAUCCACAGUUGUCUCUGAACAUGCUGAAGGGCCGCCUCAAGCAAUGUUCAAGAUUUGACCCAGGAGCAGCUACAGUAUUAUGGUUGAUCAGAGUGAGAGGCAUCUGCGGAAAAUAUUUGGAGGAUAUAUUCUCUGCGAGAGACAUAUUGCAUUCAAGCAGGAAGGAAGAAGCAAAAGUAUAUAAUAUAGACUGAACCGAGAAUGUUGCAGUUUGAAACACUUUCAAUGCAUUUCAGAUGCUGUUAAGACGAUUAUACAGUUGCAGAAACAACAGAGAUCUCAGAAACAUCUCAAGAUGCUCUUGGUGCAUCAACAGAAGAUCAGAAGUGGACCAUGCUUAUCUUGAUGCUACAGGGAACAAUGGUACAGUUGCCCCAUCCACUGUCAUCUCUGAACAUGCUGAAGGGCUGCCUGAAGCCAGGAACUUUCAGCGUUUAACAGAGGAGCAAGGCCAACUCCUAAGAAAAUGUCGAAGUGUUCAACAUUACUAUGAGACGGGAACUGAAGAUGAUAGACUGUAUUAAUUCAAUCAAAAGCCACAAGUGUUUGAAUUCUCUGAAGUGGAAUUAAAUAAAAAACACAUUACACAGUUGGAUAACGACAGAUUGCACACUGAAACAAUAAUAAGUGUUCAAAGUGCUAGUACAUCUUGUACAUAGUGUCAAGGUGUCCAAGCAUGUCUCUGUAAGCCAAUGGUUCACUGCAUAUGAGGUUAAUUUAUAUCUUACAGUGGAUUGCAGCAAAAGGCCAGAGGAAAAUAUGUUUUGAUACUCAUCCGUAUUUUGAAGAAGAAAAAUGGGGCUGAAUGGCAUGUUUAUUUUUUUAUUUGACGGGCGGGCUGGGAUGAGAAUCUAAAAUAUUUUUUCUCUGGCUUAAGGCUUUAUUCUUAGUAUGUAUCUAUUAUUUCAUCAUGAUGAAGUCAUCGUUACUAUUCUACAUUGUUAAAAAUUAGAUUCAAUCAUUUUUAGAUUUCCGGAGGUUUUGAAGAGCAUAUUUUUAACAGCCAAUGGGAUCAUAAGCACAUUUCGAGUGUUACAUGACCCAGCCUUUUUAUCAAAAGUUGCUCAGAGUUCAUUUUUGCGUGUCAGAGUAAAAGGCCUUGGAAACUUCAAAAUGGCUGAAAAGGCUUGUCCAAGCACUUUAUUUUCGCUUGCACUGUUUAUCAUCUAGGUUAAUAAAUAUAAUUUCAGUUGAUUUGCAGAAAGUUUACCAGGAUAAGAAUUUGUCGAUUGU